AAUUCGUGGUGUAGCGGUGAAAUGCUUAGAUNUCACGAAGAACUCCGAUUGCGAAGGCAGCUUGCUGGACUGUAACUGACGCUGAGGCACGAAAGCGUGGGGAUCAAACNGGAUUAGAUACCCUGGUANNCCACGCCGUAAACGAUGAAUGCUAGCUGUUAGCGAUAUACUGUUAGCGGCACAGAGAAAUCGUUAAGCAUUCCACCUGGGGAGUACGCCGGCAACGGUGAAACUCAAAGGAAUUGACGGGGGCCCGCACAAGCGGAGGAACAUGUGGUUUAAUUCGAUGAUACGCGAGGAACCUUACCUGGGCUUAAAUUGCAGUGGAAUAACGUGGAAACAUGUUAGCCUUCGGGCCGCUGUGAAGGUGCUGCAUGGUUGUCGUCAGCUCGUGCCGUGAGGUGUCGGCUUAAGUGCCAUAACGAGCGCAACCCUCAUCGAUAGUUACUAACAGGUUAAGCUGAGGACUCUAUCGAGACUGCCGACGUAAGUCGUGAGGAAGGUGGGGAUGACGUCAAAUCAGCACGGCCCUUACGUCCAGGGCUACACACGUGUUACAAUGGGGGGUACAAAGGGCAGCUACCUGGCGACAGGAUGCUAAUCUCAAAAACCUCUCUCAGUUCGGAUUGGAGUCUGCAACCCGACUCCAUGAAGCUGGAUUCGCUAGUAAUCGCGCAUCAGCCACGGCGCGGUGAAUACGUUCCCGGGCCUUGUACACACCGCCCGUCAAGCCAUGGGAGCCGGGGGGACCUGAAGUAUGCAACCGUAAGGAGCGUCCUAGGGUAAAACUGGUGACUGGGGCU
rnacentral:rRNA from 1 species